ACAUUUUUUUGGAACGCAACUAGGAGGAGAUAUUCCCACCUGGAAAUUUCAUUCAAAAAGGACACGAAAGGUUUAAGUUUAACAUAAUGAUGAGACCAAACAUCAAGUCAUCGCAUACUGUGGAGAUAUACGGCGACAACUGAAAUCCUGAGCACGGAACGUGAAGCCAUUUCUUAUUUUCCAUGUAUGCCGCAAGAUGGUUAGCAAGAGUCACCAGUGGUGGAGCCAGCCCCAGCAUUCUUGGGGUAAGCCCCCCUACCCCCCCACCCCAACGCUGGCUCCGCCCCCUAAGCAGGACGAAGGCCAGACUUGCUGCGGAGAAGACCCGAGCAAAACAAAUCCAAGCUGAAGCAAAUCUCCUUCCCACUCCCCUUGCUCGCCUACUCCUCCCUACUCGAAGUGCGGCGAGAUCACCGGUGAUCUAUCAUUCCCUCGCUGACUUACUCUCUGGGAAUAGGGAUGGAGGUAGCACCAACCUUCGUAGCAGAUUGAUCUGAUGCCUUAGCUGCUCCGACACACCAGAUGUUGGAUGAGCAAGCCUACACCUCUAGUAAGAGGUCAUGAAUGUGUGGGGCAUUUACCUUAUGUGGGUGAUUAGACAGAUUAUCUUUUGUCACGACUCUAAUUUAUCCAUUUGUACGAAGAUUAUUAUCUGAACAAGGGUGUUUGUUCAUUAUCUUUGAACUCCUUAGGUAUUGGCUUCACAACCUGUGUGGCUGUACUAAGUACUCUAUUAAUAAUUAUAUAUUGCUUGUACAGUA